GUCUGACUAGUAACAUCCAAGUGUCAUGGCCUUUCCUGAUUGCAGAUAAGCUCAUCAUAAACACAUCUCAAGGAUGGAGCAUAAGGAGAUUUACUAAUGAGCCUGAAGUUGCUAACAGAUUCUGAUGGCAGACACGACAAUUAGUAUACUAUCGUCAUAAACAGAGUGAUUCCGUUAUCAACUGACUUCAACAGAAAAAGCAUAAAUAAAUCAGUUUGAUGCAAUUGCCAGCCCAUUUUCAAAGGCCACCUGACAACUGGGCCAUAAGCAGAACAUAAAGCAAUUACGUUAUAAAAGAUGCAAAGGAUUUCCAAAUGGAGAGAUUCCCAUAGAUCUCAACUAUCAGGCUCCAGAGAUCUUUUUUCAUGCAAGUCUCCCUGAGGAAGUAGCUGCUGUUUAAACUGGAUCCUGAGCAUCCACACCCUUGACUAGCACUGAAGUUUGCCAAAAGUGUGCGCCAGAUGAGAGACGAGGAGGAAUUUUAAAGGUUUUGGUCCCCAAGGAGGUAGCUGUCAUUAACAUAAAUUAGUACACCCUUUUUGUCUUUAGAUGUUGCUAUAUUUGUCUCAUGUCUACAGCUAAUCCACUCUUCAUUUAAUUUCCCAUUGACAUAUUAGUGUUUUGAGAGGAAUAGAGACAACUGUAGCGGAUGUCUAAAAGCCACUUGUACAAAUGCAUUCUGAAUUUUAAAAUGUAUUGCAUCAUCCAGCAAACUGUCUAUUAA